UAGGGAAUCUUCCACAAUGGACGCAAGUCUGAUGGAGCAACGCCGCGUGAGUGAAGAAGGUUUUCGGACCGUAAAGCUCUGUUGUUGGUGAAGAAGGAUAGAGGUAGUAACCGGCCUUUAUUUGACGGUAAUCAACCAGAAAGUCACGGCUAACUACGUGCCAGCAGCCGCGGUAAUACGUAGGUGGCAAGCGUUGUCCGGAUUUAUUGGGCGUAAAGCGAGCGCAGGCGGAAGAAUAAGUCUGAUGUGAAAGCCCUCGGCUUAACCGAGGAAUUGCAUCGGAAACUGUUUUCUUGAGUGCAGAAGAGGAGAGUAGAACUCCAUGUGUAGCGGUGGAAUGCGUAGAUAUAUGGAAGAAUACCAGUGGCGAAGGCGGCUCUCUGGUCUGCAACUGACGCUGAGGCUCGAAAGCAUGGGUAGCGAACAGGAUUAGAUACCCUGGUAGUCCAUGCCGUAA
rnacentral:rRNA from 1 species